rnacentral:tRNA from 1 species
UCCCUGGUGGUCUAGUGGCUAAGACGCUGAGCUCCCAAUGCUGGGGCCUUGGGUUUGAUCCCUGGUCAGGGAA